UAGGGAAUCUUCCACAAUGGACGCAAGUCUGAUGGAGCAACGCCGCGUGAGUGAAGAAGGUUUUCGGAUCGUAAAGCUCUGUUGUUGGUGAAGAAGGAUAGAGGUAGUAACUGGCCUUUAUUUGACGGUAAUCAACCAGAAAGUCACGGCUAACUACGUGCCAGCAGCCGCGGUAAUACGUAGGUGGCAAGCGUUGUCCGGAUUUAUUGGGCGUAAAGCGAGCGCAGGCGGAAGAAUAAGUCUGAUGUGAAAGCCCUCGGCUUAACCGAGGAACUGCAUCGGAAACUGUUUUUCUUGAGUGCAGAAGAGGAGAGUGGAACUCCAUGUGUAGCGGUGGAAUGCGUAGAUAUAUGGAAGAACACCAGAGGCGAAGGCGACUCUCUGGUCUGCAACUGACGCUGAGGCUCGAAAGCAUGGGUAGCGAACAGG
rnacentral:rRNA from 1 species